rnacentral:rRNA from 1 species
CCUACGGGCGGCAGCAGUCGAGAAUCAUUCACAAUGGGGGAAACCCUGAUGGUGCGACGCCGCGUGGGGGAAUGAAGGUCUUCGGAUUGUAAACCCUUGCCAUGUGGGAGCAAAUUAAAAAGUUAGUACCACAAGAGGAAGAGACGGCUAACUCCGUGCCAGCAGCCGCGGUAAUACAGAGGGCUCAAGCGUUGUUCGGAAUCACUGGGCGUAAAGCGUGCGUAGGCUGUUUCGUAAGUCGUGUGUGAAAGGCGCGGGCUCAACCCGCGGACGGCACAUGAUACUGCGAGGCUAGAGUGAUGGAGGGGGAAGCGGAAUUCUCGGUGUAGCAGUGAAAUGCGUAGAUAUCGGGAGGAACACUGGUGGCGAAGGCGGGUUCCUGGACAUUAACUGACGCUGAGGCACGAAGGCCAGGGGAGCGAAAGGGAUUAGAUACCCCAGUAGUC